ACGAAAACGGUGCCGUUUGGGGUAACAUAUUCUGGGACUGGGACCCACCAAGUACAGUCCUUGCCCUUCCUUAAACCCCAGCGGAGACUUGGAGGACUUGCUGCGAAUUCCGCCGUCUUGGACUUCCAUGGCUGGCCGUGAAAUCUUCGCCGGCAUGAGACGAUGGGUCCCGCAUUUUGCAAGCUCGGCAAGGCGGAGGCCGCUGUCAUCUGUCUGCUCUUCGUCUUCGUCUUCGUUAUCGUCGGCGGAUAGGCGCAGAGACGACGAGCUUCAGAGCAAGAUUAUGGGGCUGAGAAAACCGGACCGGAGCGCAACCACAGUGAUUCAGAAUUGGGUCGACGGAGGCCACAGGGUCUCCGUUCUCGAACUCCGCUGCGUCUCCGUUCAGCUCCUGAAGUCUAAGCGCUUCAACCACGCUCUCCAGGUGCUAACAUGGAUGGAAACCCGAAGCGAUUUUCGAAUGUCGCCGGGUGAUCAUGCAAUGAGGUUGCAGUCAAUCAUAAAUGUGAAUGGUAUGUUGGAAGCUGAAGAGUAUUUUGAGCAACUUAGCACUGCUUCAAAAAAAACUGCUUGUCUCCCCCUUCUUCAUGGUUAUGUUGUGGAGAGGGACACAGAGAAAGCCGAGGCGCUCAUGCUGAAGCUUGGCGGGUUGGGGCUCAUUGUGAACCCUAACCCGUAUAACGAGAUGAUGAAGCUGUAUAUGUCCACAUCUGAAUAUGGGAAAGUGCCCCUUGUUGUACAGCAGAUGAAGAAAAACAAGAUACCCUUAACUGUUUUAUCCUAUAACCUUUGGAUGAAUGCGAAUGCAAAGCUAUCCGGUUUUGGUUCGGUGGAGAUGGUUUAUAAAGAAAUGUUGAAUGAUAACAACGUCGAGGUUGGAUGGAGCACUCUGUCUACUUUAGCCGGUAUCUAUAUGAAGGCAGGGCUUGUUGAGAAAGCCAGUUUCGCCCUGAGAAGUGCUGAAAAGAAGCUGUCUAAUUGCAAUCGCCUUGGUUAUUCUUUCCUCAUUACACAAUAUGCGUCUUUAAAUAGUAAAGAGGACGUUCUGCGACUUUGGAAAGCUAGUAAAGCGGUAGCUGGGAGAAUUCCAUGUACCAAUUACAUGCAGAUACUGUUGUGCUUGGUGAAGUUAGGUGAUACUGUGGAAGCCGAGAGGAUUUUUAUGGAGUGGGAGUCCAAUUGCUUUAGUUAUGAUAUUCGAGUCUCCAACGUCCUUCUUGGUGCAUAUAUGCGGAAUGGAAUGACUGAGAAAGCUGAGGCAUUGCAUCUACACACAUUGGAGAGAGGCGGUCAACCAAAUUAUAAGACAUGGGAGAUCCUUAUGGAAGGACGGUUGAAAAGCCAGAACAUGGACAAAGCCGUUGAAGCGAUGAAAAAAGGGUUUUGUAUGUUGCAAGAUUGUCAUUGGAGGCCAUCGGAGGAAACUGUAAUGGCCUUUGCCGAUUAUUUCGAAAAGCAUGGGAACAUUGAGUAUGCAAAUUGGUAUAUCAGAGUUAUACGUUCAUUCGGUUUUGCAAGUUCGACAUUAUACAAAUCACUGCUUAGAAUGCACCUUUCUGCUCAGAGAUCAGCCUCUGACAUCCUGAAGAUGAUGGAGGAGGACAAAGUCGAGAUGGAUGAAGAGACUUCUGCCCUUGUUCAAGCCUUCAGGGUGUGACUAUAAUUGUAAACAGCAUAGUUAGUAAAAUACGAAACAGGCUUCCUGUGAAGGCUCAAGGGACAGUAUAAUGCUUCUUUGACUGUUUGUGGGUGAAUCAAACUCAAAGUAGCGAUUGUUCUUCGUUACUUAAAGUGGGAGAGAAACAUUGAUCCUAGUCUCUCCAGUUUUCUCAUUGUUCAUGAACUUUAAGGGACCAGUGAGAGAUGCCAUCGAACUCUUCAACUUGAUGGUGCUGUCAAGAUCUUGUGAAAGGCUGAAAGCCUCUGUUGUGCUCCAGCAAUAUUUCUUGAGGGGCCAGGCAUUGUUUGAGAACAGGAGCCUCGCGAACUCUUCCAAACCAAGCGUUGAGCAGUGGCAGGGUCUCAGUAUCAAUUAGGUUUCAGUAACGAAGAACAAUGAUUGCCGGCAGCUAUGUACACAAAGCCAAUUGUUUCUCCUCCGAAUAAGUUCUUUCCUGCAAGUGCACUUUCCAAGAUCUUAGGUUCUGUCAAGCUUCUUCAGCAACAUUCUCUUUGUCCUCCCCUUUCUUGGUGAAUGCACUCAUAAUUGCCGUCACACACUGAAACAAAGAACAAUAAAUGGUCCUUAGUUCGUCAAGAGGAUGACCAAAUUUUGAAUGCUUGUGUUUUUGUGGAAAUUACAAAGUCGUCGUGAGCUUUUCUGUCGUGCAAGAAAUUUCCUAGUAGUCCUGCAUUUGAAUGCUAGUUAAGCCAAUUGGUGCUUGUGAAUUGUAUGAAUGAAACAUUAUUGCUCAUUCGGUUACCUAUUCAUCUGCAAAUUUGGCCCAGAAGCGUUCACGUGCCCUUUGUGUGUGAAUUUAAUUAUAUGUGAAUUAAAAUAGGUACUUUACUUUU